rnacentral:lncRNA from 1 species
UUGACAAAUUAAAGUAUUGCUAUUUAGAUUUCAUCUUUUACUUUUUACUCCUGGAAAAACUUUUGUGACAGAUGAGACAUGUCUCUCUGUCAAUUGUUUAUUUGAAACACUUUUUAUGCCCCACCUACGAUAGUAGAGGGGCAUUAUGUUUUCUGGUCUGUGUCUCUGUUUGUCCGUCUGUUCGUUCGUCCAUCCCUUUGUCCAUCCGUUCGUUCAUCCUGCUUCAGGUUAAAGUUUUUGGUCAAGGUAGUUUUUUGAUGAGUUGAAGUUAAAUCAACUUGAAACGUAGUACACAUGUUCCCUAUGAUAUGAUCUUUCUAAUUUUAAUGCCAAAUUGAAGUUUUGACCCCAAUUUCACAGUCCACUGAACAUGUAAAAUGAUAGUGCGAGUGGGGCAUUCGUGUACUAUGGACACAUUCUUGUUGUUAUAUUUGUUGUUGUGAUAAGUCUAUACUUCAUGGUCAUUGACUCGGGCAAAGUUUUUAUAAACAUUUGUUUACUCAUGUAAAUUUGCAUAUGUAUGGAAUUUAGUGAGGGAUAACCAAUCAAACCCAUGUAUUUCAUAUUUCUUCAAGAUGCCUUAUGUCAGUUAUGAUACUGAAGGAUUAUUUUUGUAUUUAAACUGGAAAGAUGUUCAUUCAUGUGAAACUAAAUAAUUUUGAUUAGAUUUAUAUUAUAUCAUUUGUGAUUAGACUUUGCCAUAGAUUUAUAUCAUAUCAUUUAUAUUAUAGACUGAAUGAUUUGUGGCAUUAUAACUUGAUUGUGAGAUGCAUAAAUAUAGUUUAUAUGAUCAGUGGAAUUAGGGGUCAAACUUUGAGAUCUUUCUUUCUUAGAUAUUGAUGUUUUGAAAACUAUACUACCUUCAUAAUAAUUUUUUAUGCAUAGAUACCAUGACACACAUGUACAGUUGUCUGCUCUUUGGUUGGGUUGUUGUCUCUUUGACAUAUUCACCAUUUCCAUUCCCAAUUUUUAUUUCCAAUUUUUAUAUUUAUCUUCUUAGACAACAUUUUUUUAUGAUUUUAACCAAAUUACUGAUGGUCCUGAACAUUAAAAAAAUAUUUAUCACUGGACUAAUAAAUGACAAUCAAUCAAUCAAGAAACACAUACCUCUGUGGUUGAAUGGGUUCUUUAAAACAUUUCGAGUUAUGUUUCAAAAACAUCAAUGAUAAUUUUAAGGUAUGUUUUCAAUUAUUUUUUUUUUCAAAUUAUCUGCAUAAGUAUAUGUGGAAUAAUAAGUUGAAUAUAUGUAAUUAAGUAAAUAUGAAUAUAUAAUGUGUCAAAGUUAUCAGGUUGAUUAUAUAUAUUUUUUCUAUUUU